rnacentral:lncRNA from 1 species
CCAUGGCUUCCGGUGCUUUGACGAAACCCGAUGCGUGGCCUUCUGGCCAAGCACCUGUGCUUUCAUCUUGUUUGAGAACUCAUUGUAUCUGCGGGGGUCGCAGCUCUCUAUAAGUUUGCUGUGGCUGAACCAAGAAAAAAGACAUACACAGAUUUCUACAGUAAUUAUGAGUUCAAUGAAAGAUUUUUGAGGAAAUGAGGAAGGCUGGUAUCUUUCAGAGUGCAAAGUG